UACGGAGGGUGCAAGCGUUAUCCGGAUUUACUGGGUUUAAAGGGUGUGUAGGCGGUCUAUUAAGUCAGUGGUGAAAUCUCCGAGCUUAACUUGGAAACUGCCAUUGAUACUAUUAGUCUUGAAUAUCGUUGAGGUGGGCAGAAUAUGUCAUGUAGCGGUGAAAUGCAUAGAUAUGACAUAGAAUACCGAUUGCGAAGGCAGCUUGCUAAACGAUGAUUGACGCUGAGGCACGAAAGCGUGGGGAUCAAACAGG
rnacentral:rRNA from 1 species